AACGCACAUUGCGCCCGCCAGUAUUCUGGCGGGCAUGCCUGUUCGAGCGUCAUUUCAACCAUCAAGCCCCGGGCUUGUGUUGGGGACCUGCGGCUGCCGCAGGCCCUGAAAAGCAGUGGCGGGCUCGCUGUCACACCGAGCGUAGUAGCAUACAUCUCGCUCUGGGCGUGCUGCGGGUUCCGGCCGUUAAACCACCUUUUAACCCAAGGUUGACCUCGGAUCAGGUAGGAAGACCCGCUGAACUUAA
rnacentral:misc_RNA from 1 species